CUUCAGCUUAUUACCACAGUAAGGGUUUAUGACGGGGCCUGAGGAGGGCGCUGUCGCGUCAUAAAACCUAGAAGGAUGGUAUGGCUUAAGAGCAAAAGGGGUUUUGCCAACACUUCUGAUUGGAGAAUAUCAAAUAUUCUGUGGCUUUCACUGAGCGAAUGGACUGUAUGUCCUUAAUCUCGGCCUGGGGUGAUUUGUGAUUGCUCAGACAAGAACUCAGUGGCGGGGGCAACCUCUCCUAGACGUUCCAACACUUGGCUGUCGUGUUCCUCGGCACCCUGUGCCUUUUGCACUGCGAUGCAACCUCUCAAACAGGGGCUUUCAGCACAAUUGCGUGUUUGGGCAAGGUGUUUGCGCCAACGGCCAGAUUGGCGGCCAAAAUUGUAUUUUUCCCAACCCCAGAGUCUGACCCCGCAGGCAGUUACUCAAAGGGCGGUUCUGUCGUGCAGAAACAGGGAAAUUAAACAAAAUUGCCUUUGUUGCCAACCUGGACUCAUUGCCUCCUUGCACCUGACACACCCAACCUGCUGAUGUCCCUGCGUGUUGCCCGUGGUACGAGGUCAGAAGUGACUGAGGUUCACCCACAGCCAGUGAGAGAUCCGCCAGGCUAGUUUACUCCGCGCACUGGAACUCACUGGAACAACCGUCAACUCACCACCGGUCGCUAGAGGGCCCUAUUUGCAAAUACACAAGUGGUCACGCAAACACAGCUUAAUUGUAAAUUUAAAUCUUAAUUUAAAUCUUGUUUAAACUGAAUUUAAAUAAUCAAGUGUGUAGGACAAAAGAAUAGGGGUCUAAAAUGACAGUCAGAAUGAAUUAGCUAAAAGCAGAAAAGAAAAAUAAGGUAAGGCAAAGUAAAACACAACAAUUCAGAGGCACUUGAUUCAAAUUUGAAUUAAACUCUGUUCAAUUGAAUUUAAAUAAGUGCGUAGAAUAACAGAAUGGGAAAAAGAAAGGAGAAGGUCUUCCCUAUUGGAGAAUUCCCUAAAGGGAAUUGCUUCUUGAGCAAAAUGCCAACUGAUUGACACUACUUAAUUUUAAAUCUCAAUUAAAUGUUGUUUAAUUAAAUUUAAAAAUAAGUGUAUAAAAUAAGGGAAACUUGGAUGUGAGAAUGCUGUUACCAGCAAAUCACAAACAGGACACAGACCUAAGAGUGGAUAAAAAUAAAAAGUAAGUAAUAACAAGAAAGGAAUUUCCAAAGUAAAAACUCAAGAGAGAAAGAGAGUAUAAUGAAAGAAAAUCAAGUAGAAUAAUAAAAUAACAGAGCAGAGAAAAUCUGUGAACACAGGAAAAGCAGGAAAGGGGACAAAUACUCAGAGACGGGAACUAACUUAUCUGGGAGUGUCCACCAGGGGAAGCACUUUCAGAAAGUGAAUUCUCUUGUUGAAAGGGAAACUUAAUUUAAAUUAAAAAUUUAAACGUAUUUAAAUCAAAUUUAAAUCGGUAAACCACAUUCCAAACACGAUUGAAAAGCAUAACCAUCAACAAACAUUUAUAGCGGCAAGCUAGAUUAAAGUAGCCAAAAGGAAUUUGGAAACACUUCAGCUCAACGUAUGGAGAGCAGAGUUAACCCAGAACGUCCACACGAUGGCGUUAGUGAGUCCACACAACAAUGAAGUAGGGAGGGGUGCCGCACACCUGAACAGAUUGCCUUCUGGCGUCUGGUCAGAGGUACUGCAUCCACCUACUUUAAUUCGUGAUAUUUUAAAUUAGCGCGUCUGUGGGGUUCUGAUUCCCUUACGGCUGAUUUAACUGCACUAUCACGGUUACAAACUUUAGAAUCUCGGCGGAUUCUUUGGUGCCAGGUUACUGGACACUAAUAUGCCCCUUUAAUACGGGUACACAAUUUUGGGGAUUAGUGGACCCCUGUUUGUGCAAACUUAGUGCACACGAAUAUGUAACUUUUGCAGGAUUUCUUCGCUGCUGUUACGAGUCACGCUGGAUCAGGUCGUGGCUGGCUCCCAAUUUUUACACAUCAAUCGGAUUUCAGAUAAACUGUUUUCAGAUUAGAUUUGCAAGAGGUAACGUGAUUGGUUAGCUAUGCCAAUGACGUUACCCAGGGAGCGAGACGCUAUUUUGAAUUAUUGGACGACACAGUAAUUCAAAUUUAAUAGCGCUACAAUUAUGAGGCCUUCAGAAAGAGUCUGUGAGAAACUCGUCACAGCUCCUUUUCAAAAAACUACGCUGAAUACGAUUCAAUUCGUUUAUUCAAGCGGAAAUUAAUAUUAACUGUAUAUUGCAAAAAGAUUGUCGCCUUUUGCAGAUACGAGUUUGAAAUAUUAAUUGGACUGCAGUUUACUUUACGGUCAACAAUUGACUACAGUGUUUUUAGGCACAAAUAGCUUGUUAACGUUUUUUCAGAAUGAGGGACGCGUUGUCGGCUCACUCAAUAAGGCGCGCAUAUACACAUUAAAUCACACAAAAUUAUUCUAGGUUGCUCAUACACAAAACCAAGUUUAAAACGUUGCCCGCAUUCUCCACCAAAUAAUCUGUAGCGAAUCUGUACAGGUAUUUAAUUAAUUUAUGGGUGAAAUAUAUGAAUAUAAUAAAUCAUAAAGCUUUAUGAUUAAUUAUAAUACAUAUACCGACCCGAGAGGGAAUUAUACAUAUAUUGUGAAUUAAUUACAACGAAUUAUAAUCAGUCACAUAUAUGAUUAGGUCUGGUUUGAUAAUAAUUUAGAGAAACUAUUAGUUUGUUCAGCAAACCGUUAGCUCCUCAUAGCCGAUUAUAAAAGGAAGGUUUUUCUCUGGCCACGAGAAAGACUUCCUAUUCUAGCAUCAAUGCGUAAAGCAAGGAUACUGGAUCGAAACGUUAAAGUGACCUGGGUUUGUUGCAUGAGCAAAAAGGACAAUCGAGCAUGAAUAUAAUGUAUUUAAUAUAUGAAACUACGGAUACAGAGACUAUACUACUAGACAUACACAAACAAUACACAUAUAUAGAAAACGAAAGUAAAGUCAAGAAAACAGAGGUGAUCAAAGGAAUGGCAACUUACUAACAGUUAAAACCUUUGAGAGCCAGCAAGGAAACUCAGCUUACACGUCGAGCUUAAAACGCUUUGGAAAGAAUGGUUCUAUACUUGCAUAGGUUCAGGUGCUGUGGUCGUUUCGUGUUUCUGCAGGAGUUUCGGUGCGUGCGGCUGAAGCGAUUGGUCCUUUUCCGAGAAGGUGUUCUUCGGCGGGAUUUUCAAACACGGGUUUAACUUAAGAGUAAGAUAACCGGAAAAGAAAGAAAAAGAGUCCGUCUCCUAGGCGAUGAAGAGUGAAGACUUAGGGCGACGGAUGAAGAGGGUUUGACAAAGAAACUUGUUGCCAAAAGAUGGUCGUCCCGAAGAGAGGGGGGCGCGUGAUGGAAGCGCGGUCGCCGAGACGUCCGGGAGAGACGUGUGUUAAAUGGCGAGAGACAAUCGAGAGACAAAGAGAGAUGCGUGUCAUUGUGUUUUAAGGACAACAGGCCAGAACGCCUCCUGGGAUACAUCAGCCAAUGAUGAGGGUGCGAUUUUGGCGGGCAAACUCUUUCUUUGUCUCCAUUUAUGACCUAAUUUACAUGGUUUAUGAAGUGUCCGAUCUGAGUACAUUUUCUUCAAAGUACCAUUAAAAAUAGAAGAAUGCAUUUUACAGUCAUGUGACAUACAUUUUCAAUUAGAGCAUAACGAAAGCUUUAUAAUGAGACCAAACUUGUCAGAUGGCAAAGACAUAAAAGGUGAGAUACAGUUUAUACUUGAGUUUUAUCGUUUAGAAGAAAACUAAUACAACUAGAGUCAUAGCUAAGCUUAUAUACUAGAGAUAAAUACAUGCACCUUUAAAUACAGCGACGGGUACAUAUUGGCACAGUCAUAUUUGGAGGAUAAAUGUACAUUCACAAUCUCCAUGCGUGUUUGUGAGUGUCUGUAUGUGUGUGUGUAUUGGGGUUGUGGCCAGUGUCUGUGACCAUAUGUCCUUUAGUCCCACCAGGGUGACUCUUUGAAGUCUCUGGAGCUGGUGAGAAUGUGUUCUGUUUUUCUUUACUGGGGUAACAAAGGUGCCAAUGGGGCAAUUGGUCCCGGACUUGCCGGAGCCGAUUCGUGAUUUACAUGCACAGUUCAGGAGGCUAAAAGCAUUCUGAAAUGUCCAAAGUUGAUUGACUAGCCGGAUCUAUCCAGACGCUACACU